rnacentral:rRNA from 1 species
UACGUAGGGUGCGAGCGUUGUCCGGAAUUACUGGGCGUAAAGAGCUUGUAGGCGGUCUGUCACGUCGAUUGUGAAAACUUGCAGCUCAACUGCAAGCUUGCAGUCGAUACGGGCAGACUAGAGUACUUCAGGGGAGACUGGAAUUCCUGGUGUAGCGGUGAAAUGCGUAGAGAUCGGGAGGAACACCAGCGGCGAAGGCGGCCCCCUGGACCGCUCCUGACGCUGAGACGCGAAGGCCAGGGUAGCGAACGGG